UUUUCGUUUUAUUUUUUUUUCCUAAAGUAAUAACGAUUCGAAGAUUUCUCUUUCUUUAUGCACACUUACUUUCAAUCAAUAAAUAUUUGUUAUGUUAUUGUGUUAUAUGCAUUAUAGUAAGAGAAUGACAUCAACAUGGCAGAAAAUUUUCGGUCUAUGCUUUCUUCUAGCUUUGACAUUUGCUGUCCCAAUACCUGAUGACGUAAGUUAAUAAUUUACAAAUAUGUUUUUAUGCUAUGUAAUUUACACUACUAUAUAAAAUCCCAGAAGAUAUUUGUGCGUCGGCGGCCAGGCGUGACAUAUUGCUGUAUUCACGAAUUUUAAAGCGCGUUAUGUCAAUAGAGGUUCCUUGGGAAACCAACAUUCCCAAAGACCGUGACAUCAAAGUCAACAAGUAUUACGAGCUUACUAACGAACUCAUUAGGGAUAGGCUCUUAGUAAAUUUGUAUACGGUAGAGGUGGGAGCGAGAGGUAUAACAGCUAAAUCUGUUUACAACGUAUUAAAAGACUUGGGCCUGUCCAGAACUAACAUCAAUUUGUUCUUGAAACGUACUUCGAAGGCAGCCCUAGAAGGUUCGUAUCAAAUUUGGUUAGGUAGAGAGAGGAGCUCGGACGGUAGAGGCGAGAGUUUAUCGCGUGUCCGAUAGGCCCCUUAAACCUACACCUGGGUCGCAAGUCCCAGGCACUGUUGAAGCUCCUCUCCCUGCAACGCAAUGGACCCGGCACCGGCACGGUGCUUCCAUUGAAAGCUAAGAGGUUUCCUCUCUGUCUAAUUUUGUCUAUGAUUCGUACUACAUAAAUAGCAUACGAUUUUUCAUUAUAAUUGAAAAUUACUCAUCGUUCCAGAAUCAUUAGCAAACGAUAGUUACCUUUAAAAAUUAAUCCCGUGAUUGUGUUGAAGUAUACUUGACUAGUUUGUAUAAAUAGGAUUUGGAUCUUUAUAAAAUAUCAAUCUUUUCUUCUGGUUGAUGACUAAUGAGUCAUUUGAAAAAAUAAAAGAAUUGAAUUAUAUAUAAUUUUACUUACGCCUUCUUGUUUUAAUUGUUAUCCGUGUGCUAAAUUAUUGAUACAGAGUGUUCACAUAUGAACUUUUAAGGAUCUCUGUCCGUCUUAUUUAAAAAAAAAAAGUUUUGACGUCUUCGUUUGGAUAAUUUUUUCUAUAUAAUUGUUGGCUUAAUAUAGCUUUGAUAUCUUGAUAACUUAAAAUUUAUUGAUAAUUAUUCCUAUAUAUAUUUUUCGCCAUAAUAUAGGAGAUAUCAAGAUUUCUACUUCUCUUGUUAGGAGCCAGCGAAAAGAUAUGCGACUAUGGGGAGCACUAAACUAAAAAUAAAAUGACAUUCAGUUGAUAUUCAAGAAUAUUUUUUUCACCAAAAAACAUUUUCUCAUUGCAGACGUUAGAAAUGAUGUAAUAGGUUAGAAAAUAGUUAGAGGAUAUCUAAGCUGAA